UUUUAUGGUGGCCAUGCGUGGGGCUCCUUCGGGAGCGCCGGGUUUUCCUGCUUAGACCGGUCUACCAACCCGCGUAUGGCCGCCACCCUC
rnacentral:antisense_RNA from 3 species